GCCUGAGUAGCUCAGCUGGGAGGGCAUCAGCCUUUUAAUCUGAGGGUCUGGGCUUCAAGUCCCUGUUCAGGCU
rnacentral:tRNA from 1 species